rnacentral:tRNA from 1 species
GUGAGUGUAGCUCAGCUGGUUAGAGCGUCGGUCUGUGGCACCGAAGGCCGCGGGUUCAAAUCCCGUCAUUCACCCCA